GCAGGCAAAAGCCUAGCAACAUUUCGUUUGACUUUAUGUCCUAAGUUUUCAAAUUCCGUCAGGGUUGACUUUGCUUUCAUCUUUGGAGGGUUGAUAAAAUAAAUACCAGUUGAACACUGGGGUCGAUGUAAUCGACUUAAUCCCU